GUACAGGACGCUCUGAUUCCUCCGGAUGAGUUUUCGCUGAUCGAGUGGGGGACGGUGAGUAAUGCAUAGGAUCUACCCAGUAGUGGGGGAUAACGCGGAGAAAUCCACGCUAAUACCGCAUAUGUCCUACGGGACAAAGCAUGCGGACGUCGGGCCUUGCGCUAUCGCAUGAGCCUAUGAUAGAUUAGCUUGUUGGUGAGGUAAAGGCUCACCAAGGCAACGAUCCAUAGCUGGUCUGAGAGGAUGAUCAGCCACACUGGGACUGAGACACGGCCCAGACUCCUACGGGAGGCAGCAGUGGGGAAUAUUGCACAAUGGGCGCAAGCCUGAUGCAGCAAUGCCGCGUGUGUGAAGAAGGCCUGCGGGUUGUAAAGCACUUUUAUUAGGAAAGAAAAACACGAAAUUAAUACUUUCGUACUUGACGGUACCUAAAGAAUAAGCACCGGCUAACUCAGUGCCAGCAGCCGCGGUAAUACUGAGGGUGCAAGCGUUAAUCGGAAUUACUGGGCGUAAAGCGAGUGUAGGCGGCUACCUAAGUCGGAUGUGAAAGCCCUGGGCUCAACCUGGGAAUUGCAUUCGAUACUGAGUAGCUAGAGUUUGGUAGAGGUAAGUGGAAUUCCGGGUGUAGCGGUGAAAUGCGUAGAUAUCCGGAGGAACAUCAGUGGCGAAGGCGGCUUACUGGACCAAAACUGACGCUGAGGCUCGAAAGCGUGGGGAGCAAACAGGAUUAGAUACCCUGGUAGUCCACGCCCUAAACGAUGUCAACUAGACGUUGGGCUCAUUAAGGAGCUUAGUGUCGCAGCUAACG
rnacentral:rRNA from 1 species